rnacentral:rRNA from 1 species
GGGAUAACACUUGGAAACAGGUGCUAAUACCGUAUAACACUAUUUUCCGCAUGGAAGAAAGUUGAAAGGCGCUUUUGCGUCACUGAUGGAUGGACCCGCGGUGCAUUAGCUAGUUGGUGAGGUAACGGCUCACCAAGGCCACGAUGCAUAGCCGACCUGAGAGGGUGAUCGGCCACACUGGGACUGAGACACGGCCCAGACUCCUACGGGAGGCAGCAGUAGGGAAUCUUCGGCAAUGGACGAAAGUCUGACCGAGCAACGCCGCGUGAGUGAAGAAGGUUUUCGGAUCGUAAAACUCUGUUGUUAGAGAAGAACAAGGAUGAGAGUAAAAUGUUCAUCCCUUGACGGUAUCUAACCAGAAAGCCACGGCUAACUACGUGCCAGCAGCCGCGGUAAUACGUAGGUGGCAAGCGUUGUCCGGAUUUAUUGGGCGUAAAGCGAGCGCAGGCGGUUUCUUAAGUCUGAUGUGAAAGCCCCCGGCUCAACCGGGGAGGGUCAUUGGAAACUGGGAGACUUGAGUGCAGAAGAGGAGAGUGGAAUUCCAUGUGUAGCGGUGAAAUGCGUAGAUAUAUGGAGGAACACCAGUGGCGAAGGCGGCUCUCUGGUCUGUAACUGACGCUGAGGCUCGAAAGCGUGGGGAGCGAACAGGAUUAGAUACCCUGGUAGUCCACGCCGUAAACGAUGAGUGAUAGGUGUUGGAGGGUUUCCGCCCUUCAGUGCUGCAGCA